UACUCCUCUCAUAGCCAUAGAACAAAAUGUCUCUCACAGAAACGCUUAACUACACACAUGAAAUAGCAGAAGGCAAAUGACGACACUCCCACCACACACUGCAAAGCAAAAUGUGCUGUAUGGAAGAGGUUAAAUUAUUUUGUGUUUUCCCCCGUCAGUCACCAAAAUAGUAGAAACAUGCCUUGGUUACAUUGAUGCUCUAGAGUAGACAAGUGCUAUAUUGCCUCCUUAUUGCCACUCGAUGUGAGAAAAUGUGCUAAUAUCUGCACACACAUCGUACUAAGCAUUAAGGUUUUGCCUAUAUAAAUAAACACAUUUAUUUGCUAGAUUAUUUUAUCAGUGGGCACAAGAAGGCAGAAGGGUUGAGGUGUUCUUUCUUUUUUUUGUUUUAAGCUUCCUGAAUUUGCACAUUUUACUGUUUGUACUCUUCCCAGUGACUGAGCAUCAUGGGGGAAAAAAAGAGUCUCCAAUAAAGAGAUUUCAAUAGAUCUUCCUCUCACUGACUCUGUCCACUGACUCUUCUUGUUCUUCUCAUCCAAAUAAAUGAUUCUCGUACAACAUCAGACGCGAGCAGCACCUGCUUGGCAAAUGCUGCGCUUGUCCAAUCAAAUGCUUCUCAGAAGGAAGCAUUGAAUCCUGUGCUUCCCAAUAAGCAAGGUUUAAUAUCCUCAUGCAUGUCAAACAUCACAUGACUUUGUGAAACUCGGUACUCACAGGGGAAGUGCCUUUAGUGGCUUUCCGGAAGACAGCAGCUAGAGGAUAUGUUUCAACAUACAAUCAUAACAUUGCUGUAUCUACUAAACAUCAAUGCUUCGGAAUGCUGGGUUAAAACUAAACGGCCACAGGACUGAGACCACAUUAUUGAGAUUGUCAGGGUGCCUUUAGUAGUCUUUGAAUCACAAGCCCUGUUUUCUUUGCACACACAAUUUCCCUGUGUAUCCUGUAUUAGGAGGUCUGGAUCUCCAGUAUUAAGAGGUGUAUACACGUUACACUAAAGUCACGUUAGGUGUUUUACCCGGGUUACUGGCACUUGUGGCAGUGUGAGUUUUUUUCUUACAAUAAUCAGCUGCACACAGCCUUCUUUUCCACACGACCCAAAGUAUCUUGGCUGAGUGCAGAGCAGUUAAGCAAUCCUGCUUGUUCCAUAUCAGACAUACGUCAACAUGCACAUUUCUUAACCUCUGCUUGAUCUUCUGUUCACCAGUUCCAUUCUAGAUUCUGAUGUUUAGUAAUUGCUGGGGGAAUUUAGUUAUAUGAUGAAAUCAUGUUUUAUUUUCUUUUUAUUUAAUUGUAGCUGCAAAAAGUAACAAUUAAAUGACUGAUUGUGGUAGAUAACAAAAAUUAAUUUGCUAACUGGCCAACCAGUUUUCGGUCCAGCUCUUCGUGGUAGAUAGAGACAAUUGAUUUAAAAAGCCUACGCCAGGGUAUUUAAAAAACCUUCCAGCUGAGGUUAAAGUGCAACUCCCACAAUCCUUAGCCAGACUCCCCUUUUCUGUAGGAUCUCUGAUGUGAGCAAAUGUCAAAUAUAUACAUAACAUCCGAUUCAUACAUUUUAAACUAAACUAGCUUCAGAGAUAAAGUAGAUAUUUUUUAAUUUUUUUCAGAUUGAGCAUUUUGGCUUAAAUUUUGAGUUGUCAACACCAUUUUCACAUACCAUUCACUGUAUAUUAAAUAAGCUUAUUUAUAUUGAAAUAUCUGUGACCUUUGAUGUUCAGAGAUUUGAUUUUAUGGAAAGGCAGCUACAACGUUGACCUUAAACAUAUUUUAGAAAUAUUUGGUACCUUUUGUUUUCUUUCUUUAUUACUUUUUAAAUAGAACAAAAAUUGUGAAUGUUACGUUUUGCUGCUUAGUUUAUGUUCCCCUUCUCUUCUACAUAUGCUGCAAAUUGUCUUACAGAUUGUGUAUGUUACUCAUUUAGCCAUGGAUUAUAGAGAUUUAUUAGAACUAAACCAGCUUUUUUUCUGAAUUCUUUUAUAUAAUCCUAUUAACUAAAAUUAUUUCUGUUUUGUAUAUCUGUGUUUUGUGUACGAUGACCUUGUGUGUUUCUUCAAAAACUGGCAUUUUAAAAAUAUCAUUUAUAUGUGAAGGACAGGUGUUUUACCUCUGUGCUGCAUAAUGUCCAUUAUAUAAAAUUUAUUAAAGUGUUAUUUUUGUAACAA